AAGUCGUAACAAGGUAACCGUAGGUGAACCUGCGGUUGGAUCAUUAUUAAAUGAAGCAAGGGGCCACUUAUGCGCCGCAUUUGGCUGGUCCCCUCCCAUUAGCUCUCGGGCGAAGUGGGUUGGAAGUUCUGGACGGACAACUUGUCUGCCCGGAACGACUGCAAAAAACACACUGUGAACUGUCUUUGUCUCUGGCGGUUGGAUGGUCUCAAACAUCAUCUGUCAGCUCUCCAAUUACUGGGGGGCCGUGGACAAGCCGCCAAACACUUGGUGAGGAACUCUAGUGGUCCGCCACUGAGGGACUCGCGAAAAACAACUAACUUACCAAACUGACUAACUACAUAACAUAAAGUAAUGUAACAAAACAACUUUUGGCAACGGAUCUCUUGGCUCUC
rnacentral:misc_RNA from 1 species